rnacentral:rRNA from 1 species
UGAGGAACAUGACCUUCGGCGGGGGAUAGCCGGCCCAACGGCCGGGUAAUACCGCGUACGACCACAUGGGGACAUCCCUGAGUGGUGAAAGCAGCAAUGCGCCGAUGGAGUGCCUCGCGGCCUAUCAGCUAGUUGGUGAGGUAACGGCUCACCAAGGCAACGACGGGUAGCUGGUCUGAGAGGAUGGCCAGCCACAUUGGGACUGAGACACGGCCCAGACCUCUACCGGGGAGG